rnacentral:rRNA from 1 species
AAGGUGGAGGAGAAGCUCAAUAGGCUUGUCAAGGAAAGAGAGAUCAUUGGUCCAAACAUGAUUAGUGCAACAGACAGGAAAGAGAUAAAAGAGAGGCCUGAGACUAGUUCAAUAAUCGAUGACUCCAGUGUGUUUGGAAGAGAAGAAGAUAAGGAGACCAUUGUGAAGAUGUUGCUUGAUCAAAAUAACUCUAACCAUGCCAACCUUUCUAUUCUUCCCAUAGUGGGUAUGGGCGGACUAGGGAAGACGACUCUAACACAGCUUGUCUACAAUGAUACAAGAAUAAAAGAGCAUUUCCAGUUAAGGGUCUGGCUGUGUGUUUCUGAAAAUUUUGAUCAGAUGAAGCUUACCAAGGAAACCAUUGAAUCAGUUGCCAGCGAGUGUGAAUCAGCCAUCAGUGGGGUCUCAUCGGUCACGACCAACAUGAACUUGCUCCAAGAAGACCUCUCGAAAAAGCUAAAAGGUAAAAGGUUUCUUCUAGUACUUGAUGAUGUAUGGAACGAGGACUCUGAAAAGUGGGGCAGCUUACUAUGUUCCCAGGAUACUGAAGAUGACUGGAAAAAUGUGUUAAGGAGUGAAAUAUGGGAACUGCCAUCAGAUAAGAACAAUAUAUUGCCAGCACUG